AAUAGAUACCCAGGUAGUCCACGCCGUAAACGUUGGAUACUAGGUGUGGCGGUUAUACCAAUGACUGCCGUGCCGAAGCUAACGCAUUAAGUAUCCCGCCUGGGGAGUACGGCCGCAAGGCUAAAACUCAAAGGAAUUGACGGGUCCCCGCACAAGCGGCGGAGCAUGCGGCUUAAUUCGAUGCAACCCGAAGAACCUUACCUGGGUUUGACAUCACGGGAAAAGCUGUAGAAAUACAGUGUCCAUUAGGGCCCGUGACAGGUGGUGCAUGGCUGUCGUCAGCUCGUGUCGUGAGAUGUUGGGUUAAGUCCCGCAACGAGCGCAACCCUUGUCCUAAUGUUGCCAGCGGUUCGGCCGGGGACUCAUAGGAGACUGCCGGGGAUAACUCGGAGGAAGGUGAGGACGACGUCAAGUCAUCAUGCCCCUUAUAUCCAGGGCUGCACGCAUGCUACAAUGGCCGGUACAACGGGCAGCGACCCCGCGAGGGUGAGCGAAUCCUAAAAAGCCGGUCCUAGUUCGGAUUGAAGUCUGCAACUCGACUU
rnacentral:rRNA from 1 species